CAACUUGCGUUCAAAGACUCGAUGAUUCGCGGAAUUCUGCAAUUCACACUACGUAUCGCAUUUCGCUGCGUUCUUCAUCGUUGCAGGAGCCAAGAUAUCCGUUGCUGAGAGUUGUGUUCUUUUAUAUAUUUGUUAAACCUGGUUCCGUUCCCCCUCGUCUUCUUUUCUCUCUUCUUCUCUUCUAGAAGAAUAUGAGGAGAAGAAGAGAGAGAGAGAGAAGGGGAAGGAAGGCGAUUCGGGACUCAGUCAUAUUUGUAAGUGAUUCUUGCGCAUGCAUGGCGGGUUUUCCUUGAUCAUCCGAUUCGGUUCCUCCAAGUCCCAUCCAGAGCCCCAACCUGGCCAGGUUUGGAUUUUUCCAUACCCCCGGAGGGAAAGAAAAAUCUGGGGAUGGAUGAAAAAUGGUCGAUGAAUGGAUGAGACGUCGACGAUGUGGGGUUCGCUAGAACAAGUA
rnacentral:rRNA from 1 species